UAAUGUAUCUUUAGAAAUCAAUUCCCUUUUGGGGUUAAAACGGGGAUGGUAGGUUGACUCACUCAUCACGAAAUCUCCGAAACUAUAACAGCUACAAACUUGAAAUUUGGUCAGUCGGUUUCUUAUAGGGUGUAAACAUCCGAUGAGAACGAAUUUUACGAAAUUCGACCCUUAAGGGGAUAAAACGGGGGUUGGAAGUUUGUAUGAAAGUCCUAUGUUUUUGAAGUAAGAGACUUGAAAUUUAAAAUGUAUGCUUUAUAGAUAGUGAGAAGGUGUCGAAAUAAUGUAUCUUUAGAAAUCAAC
rnacentral:misc_RNA from 1 species